UUGGAUUGAGACAACGUACAAACCUUAUCGAUAAACAAUUGGAGGGCAAGUCUGGUGCCAGCAGCCGCGGUAAUUCCAGCUCCAAUAGCGUAUAUUAACGUUGUUGCAGUUAAAAAGCUCGUAGUUGAAAUGAAGGGUAGUUGUGUAAUGAAUACAUUCGUGUAUUUUGUUAUUCUACUACCCUCCUUCUAAAUUCGAUAUAUGAGUAUUAAUUUACUUGUAUAUGGUUUUAGACCUUUACUGUGAGAAAAUUAGAGUGUUCAAAGCAGGCAUUUGCUUGAAUAUAUUAGCAUGGAAUAAUCAUGUAUGAUUUUCAUGAUGUAUUUGAUUGGUUUGGUUCAUGAGAAUAAGAUUAAAAGGGACAGUUGGGGGUAUUCAUAUUCAAUAGUCAGAGGUGAAAUUCUCGGAUUUAUGGAAGAUGAACAAGUGCGAAAGCAUUUACCAAGGAUGUUUUCAUUAAUCAAGAACGAAAGUUAGGGGAUCGAAGAGGAU
rnacentral:rRNA from 1 species